rnacentral:rRNA from 1 species
GAUGAACGCUGGCGGCGUGCCUAAUACAUGCGAGUCGAGCGAACGGACGAGAAGCUUGCUUCUCUGAUGUUAGCGGCGGACGGGUGAGUAACACGUGGAUAACCUACCUAUAAGACUGGGAUAACUUCGGGAAACCGGAGCUAAUACCGGAUAAUAUUUUGAACCGCAUGGUUCAAAAGUGAAAGACGGUCUUGCUGUCACUUAUAGAUGGAUCCGCGCUGCAUUAGCUAGUUGGUAAGGUAACGGCUUACCAAGGCAACGAUGCAUAGCCGACCUGAGAGGGUGAUCGGCCACACUGGAACUGAGACACGGUCCAGACUCCUACGGGAGGCAGCAGUAGGGAAUCUUCCGCAAUGGGCGAAAGCCUGACGGAGCAACGCCGCGUGAGUGAUGAAGGUCUUCGGAUCGUAAAACUCUGUUAUUAGGGAAGAACAUAUGUGUAAGUAACUGUGCACAUCUUGACGGUACCUAAUCAGAAAGCCGCGGCUAACUACGU